AUUUCAUUGGGAGACUUAUUGUGAAGUAAUCUGGAUGGUAUUCUGUUAAGGAGAUAAGUAGCAGUCAACAGACAAUCCCCCCAGAAAGACACAGGUAGCCCAGAUUGAAAAAGUAAGGCUCUACAUGUUUCAAGAAGGGUUCUAUGCUUUUUUUCAACAACACCAUUCUGUUGAGGUGAAUGAGGGCAGGAGGUUUGAUGAAUAAUCCCCUGGCUACUAAAGAAAGAUAUACCCUCAAUGCUAGAUCCCCCAUUCUGUUGAGGUGAAUGAGGGCAGGAGGUUUGAUGAAUAAUCCCCUGGCUACUAAAGAAAGAUAUAACCUCAAUGCUAGACCCUAAUUCUAAAGCAUUGUUAUUUCUAAAAGUUUGAACCACAGUAUUAAACUGAGUUAUAACCAAACAGAUGAAAGAUUUAAGCAGGGAGAAGGCGUUGCUUUUAGAGCCCAUUAAGUGUGUCCAGGUUGCCCUAGAGAAAUCAUCAACUAUAGUAAGGAAAUAUCUAAAACUAGAAGAAAUAGAAAUAUGGUAAGGUCCCCAAGUAUCCACAUGUAUCAAUUGAAAAGGCCUAGUAGUACUGAUACUGCNNNN
rnacentral:lncRNA from 1 species